rnacentral:rRNA from 1 species
GUACGGAAGGCAGCAGUGGGGAAUCUUGCGCAAUGGCCUAACGGCUGACGCAGCGACGCCGCGUGAGGGAUGAAGCUCCUCGGAGUGUAAACCUCUGUUGCCCGGGACGAAUAGCGGAUUUUUCCGACUUGACGGUACCGGGUGAGGAAGCACCGGCUAACUCCGUGCCAGCAGCCGCGGUAAUACGGGGGGUGCGAGCGUUGUCCGGAAUCACUGGGCGUAAAGGGCGCGUAGGUGGCUUUGUAAGUUUGCGGUGAAAGCCCGGGGCUCAACCCCGGGUCUGCCGUGAAUACUGCAAGGCUUGAGUACUGUAGAGGCAGGUAGAAUAUCGGGUGUAGCGGUGGAAUGCGUAGAGAUCCGAUAGAAGACCGGUGGCGAAGGCGGCCUGCUGGGCAGUAACUGACACUGAGGCGCGACAGCGUGGGGAGCAAACAGGAUUAGAUACCCCAGUAGUCU